GAUGAACGCUAGCGGCAGGCUUAAUACAUGCAAGUCGAGGGGCAGCAGCUCUGUAGCAAUACAGAGGCUGGCGACCGGCAAACGGGUGCGGAACACGCACACAACCUUCCUUUAAGUGGGGAAUAGCCCAGGGAAACUUGGAUUAAUACCCCGUAACAUUAUGAGAUGGCAUCAUUUUAUAAUUAAAGCUACGGCGCUUAAUGAUGGGUGUGCGGCUGAUUAGGUAGUUGGCGGGGUAACGGCCCACCAAGCCUGCGAUCAGUAACUGGUGUGAGAGCACGACCAGUCACACGGGCAC
rnacentral:rRNA from 1 species